AUGACAACUCUGAGGGGGGUGAAUUUUUUUCUCACUCUUCUGUUUAAGUGUAUUGAAAGCCUAAAAUUCUGUAUAAUUAAUGAGCAUCAGACCCACGUGACCACAGAGCUAGCUCCGUGGAAAGACCACAGUCUGAGCCUCGUCUGGCCUGGAAACUGCUCUGGGAUUUUGAGUCUCUGUGUUUGUGUAUUCUUUUUUGUUUCUUUAUUUUCCUCUACUGCAUCCAGAUUACCACACUGUGCUUCAGUAAAAAGCAUUUUUCUUAUACGUAACUUACUUCUGUUCAUAAAGUUCUGGGGAAAAUAAUAAUUCAAAGAUGUUGCACCAGUGCUAAGUUUAAAAAUAGACAGACACACAGAGACAGUGUUUUUUGUCCCACUGUACAGCCCUGCUCUGUUAUGGAAGAGCCUGGGGGAAAAUCAGGACGUCAAUAGCACCAACCAUACAUAUGUACAAACUAGCGAGAAAAGCUAUUUUUGAUCUUUGUCUGCAGCGGUUUUAGUGCUUUUCAGUGCACUAGUGACGCAACCCUGCAACUGCAAUUAAAAUAACAACCAAAUAGCUGGGGGCAGAGUGAAAUCAGGCUGGGGAGACACAAAAUUAGCUGGAGGCGGCCGCCAUGCAAAUUUGAAUGCAGGAAAAACCCUGGCUAUGAUGUAGCCACAGCUGCCCUGGGGCGAACGGACAGAGGAGAGGCUGCCGAGCACAUGCUCCACCGGUCCCUCCGACCACCACCAGCAGGUAAGGCGGGUUAAGCAUCUUGCCCAAGGACACAACGACAGCGACAGACUGAGCGGGGCUCGAACCUGCAACCUUCUGAUUAAGGGGCGAGCACUUAACUCCUGUACCACCGUUGCCCCAUAGUAUCCCCACAAAAGUAUCAAACACAUGUGUAGAGGAUGGUUUUAAGGACAAAGUACAUACAGAGUAUAAUACAUAAGUACAUAGUGUAAUAUGUAUAAGUACAUAGUAGAGUAUGUGUAAGUACAUAGUUCAAUAUGUAUAAGUACACAGUAGAGAAUGUGUAAGUACAUAGUAUAAUAUUUACUAGUACAUAGUGUAAUAUGUAUGACUACAUAGUAGAGUAUGUAUAAGUACAUAGUAUAAUAUGUAUGAGUACAUAGUAGAAUAUGUGUAAGUACAUAGUGAAAUAUGUUAGGCUGAAACAAAUACUGGAGUGGUUUGAUUCAGUCAGUGCUUUCACACUGAUUUGAGGUGUCAAACGCUCAGCAGCCUGAAGACUUUUUACUGGUGGACAACAAGGUCAUCGAGGUGUUAUGGAGGACAACAGAGAAACAUUCAAGACCGACAACACUGGAAAAGGCAGAAACGCUCCACAGUCUGGGAUUUAGUGUGAAUCUACAACCAGGUUGGCUAAUGCUAAUGCUAGCGGGUAGAAGAUUCAUGAUCAAGCAGGGGCCAGAACAGGAUUGGUAUCCUGCAUGUUUUAGCUGUUUCCAUGCUCCAACACACCUGUUCAGUUGCUCACUAAAGGAACACUAGGCAGUUUAGUUUGCUUUUAGCAUCCCCUAUGGUCCGUUUGAAAAGUGAAACAAAAUCACUCUCUUGGCAGUGUGUCUGCCUUUUUCACACCUUAAUCUAAGAGUAAACGUCUCCCAGCCUUCAAUAGAGUCUAGAGGAGUGAUUAGCCAAUAACUUAAUCAUGUCAGCUGUGUUCAUGCAGGAAACGCCCUGAAGCCAGACAGCAGUGCCACUAAAGUCAGCUGGACCGGACCGGACCGGCAAGUGUGAAGUUGCAAGUGCGAUAUUCUGGCCACAGGGGGCAAUAGGGGCUGGGUGGCCUGUCAUUAACCCAGUACAGGUCAUUUAAGCACAAACUGGCUCAAGAAAAUGAUUUAAAACAUGCAAAGUAUCCCUUUAAGCCUGUUAUGUGCUGCGUUUCCGCGAAAGGUGUUCAGGGUAGCAGGUGACACGAUGUCCCGGUCCUCCCAUACAAAUUAAGCCCUUUCAGGACUUAGCACAGACGUCGGCACAUGACGACUGAGGCGAGAGAGUGAUGUCACUGAUCAGCAAAAAGACAAAAAUUCUACUGUAGCAGGUUUUACUGUUGACGUAUUGCUGCAGCAUGUAAAACGUGGCAUCCAAGUUGUUGUUGUAGUCGUCGUCGUUGUUGUAGCAUUAUGCUGCGCUUUUUGGACUUUAAUAAAAGCGACGUUAAAACUGCGCUAAUGUUAGUUACCGUAAAUCCUCUAAUAGAGGCCCGGGCCUGUAUUUGACUCAAGCUCCAGGCCUUUAUUGGAAGGAGGGCCAGUAUUAGAGGCAGGCCUCUAUUUCUAUUGAGCAAAAUGAACUAAUGGUUUGCUGGAGUUUUUGACAAUUAAAAUUGCGCCCACAUUUUCAAAGUUAAACACAUUUCUUUUAACAACGGUAG
ensembl:lncRNA